CCCAGUUAAAUUUGAAUUUUGCAUAAACAAUGAAUAAUUUAUUAAUAUAAAUAUGUCCCAUGCACUAUUUGGGACAUACAUAUACUAAAUACUAUUUAUUGUUUCUCUGAAAUUCAAGUUUAACUGCAUGCC
rnacentral:miRNA from 1 species